ACCCGCUGAACUUAAGCAUAUCAAUAAGCGGAGGAAAAGAAACUAACAAGGAUUCCCCUAGUAACUGCGAGUGAAGCGGGAAAAGCUCAAAUUUAAAAUCUGGCGGUCCUUGCGGUCGUCCGAGUUGUAAUUUAGAGAAGUGUUAUCCGCGCUGGACCGUAUACAAGUCUCCUGGAAUGGAGCGUCAUAGAGGGUGAGAAUCCCGUCUUUGAUACGGACUACCAGGGCUUUGUGAUGCGCUCUCGAAGAGUCGAGUUGUUUGGGAAUGCAGCUCAAAAUGGGUGGUAAAUUCCAUCUAAAGCUAAAUAUUGGCGAGAGACCGAUAGCGAACAAGUACCGUGAGGGAAAGAUGAAAAGAACUUUGGAAAGAGAGUUAAACAGUACGUGAAAUUGUUGAAAGGGAAACGCUUGAAGUCAGUCGCGUUGGCUGGGGAUCAACCUUGCUUUUUUGCAUGGCGUACUUCCUAGUCGAUGGGUCAGCAUCAGUUUUGAUUGUUGGAUAAAGGUCAGGGGAAUGUGGCAUCUUCGGAUGUGUUAUAGCCCUUGGUCGUAUACAGCAGUUGGGACUGAGGAACUCAGCACGCCGCAAGGCCGGGUACUUGUACCACGUACGUGCUUAGGAUGCUGGCAUAAUGGCUUUAAUCGACCCGUCUUGAAACACGG
rnacentral:rRNA from 1 species